UCAGAUUGCAGGCUGCAACUCGCCUGCAUGAAGUUGGAAUUGCUAGUAAUCGCGAAUCAGAAUGUCGCGGUGAAUACGUUCCCGGGCCUUGUACACACCGCCCGUCACACCAUGAGAGUCGAUAACACCCGAAGCCUGUGAGCUAACCGUAAGGAGGCAGCAGUCGAAGGUGGGGUUGAUGAUUGGGGUGAAGUCGUAACAAGGUAGC
rnacentral:rRNA from 1 species